rnacentral:rRNA from 1 species
GUAUGCCAAAAUACACAGAAAGCUCCAGAUCCUGUCUGAUCUGGGAAGCUAAGCAGGUUUAGUCUGGUUAAUAUUUGGAUGGGAGGCCAGCAAUGAAUCCCAGGUAUGGUAAGCU